GCUCCUGUAGUGUAGACCGGCCAAUCAUUCCGGACUUUCGAUCCGGUGACCCGGGUCCGAAUCCCGGCGGGAGCA
rfam:Candidatus Altiarchaeales archaeon WOR_SM1_SCG NODE_38_length_18254_cov_864.852_ID_501, whole genome shotgun sequence.